rnacentral:rRNA from 1 species
GAUGAACGCUGGCGGCGUGCCUAAUACAUGCCAGUCGAGCGAACAGAUGAGGAGCUUGCUCCUCUGACGUUAGCGGCGGACGGGUGAGUAACACGUGGAUAACCUACCUAUAAGACUGGGAUAACUUCGGGAAACCGGAGCUAAUACCGGAUAAUAUAUUGAACCGCAUGGUUCAAUAGUGAAAGACGGUUUUGCUGUCACUUAUAGAUGGAUCCGCGCCGCAUUAGCUAGUUGGUAAGGUAACGGCUUACCAAGGCAACGAUGCGUAGCCGACCUGAGAGGAUGAUCGGCCACACUGGAACUGAGACACGGUCCAGACUCCUACGGGAGGCAGCAGUAGGGAAUCUUCCGCAAUGGGCGAAAGCCUGACGGAGCAACGCCGCGUGAGUGAUGAAGGUCUUCGGAUCGUAAAACUCUGUUAUUAGGGAAGAACAAAUGUGUAAGUAACUAUGCACGUCUUGACGGUACCUAAUCAGAAAGCCACGGCUAACUACGUG